rnacentral:rRNA from 1 species
UACGGGGGGGGCAAGCGUUGUUCGGAAUUACUGGGCGUAAAGGGCUCGUAGGCGGCCAACUAAGUCAGACGUGAAAUCCCUCGGCUUAACCGGGGAACUGCGUCUGAUACUGGAUGGCUUGAGUUUGGGAGAGGGAUGCGGAAUUCCAGGUGUAGCGGUGAAAUGCGUAGAUAUCGGGAGGAACACCUGUGGCGAAGGCGGCCCCCUGGUUGGAUACUGACGCUGAGACGCGAAAGCGUGGGGAGCAAACAGG